ACGGGUUUCCCAGCGGCGGCGGCGGCUUUGCUAAGACACUGAAAGGAACUGGAGGGUAGGAAGCCCCUUUAGGCCCAGGCCUCAGGGAAAGGCCUCGCCAGGGAAGAGUCUGAACUGGAAAUCAGCUGGGGAGAUUGCAGAGGGUGAUCACAUGAUCCUGGGACAUUGCAGCUGUCAUAAAUACAUUCCGGUUGUCAAGCACCUGAAUCAUGAUCACGAGACCGUGGGAUCACGAGACUAUAAGAGUUCUAAAAAACCACAACAACAGGUUUAGAGACGACUUACCCAAAGGGUCUCUGGAUUAAGGCUGGAUGGAGCUGUUGAACCCCAAAGGCAAAACCUAACAACAAAACAAAGCACAUUCUGUAUACUGAUACUCCUUCUGUUGCAUUGUGUUGGCAAUCUUUUACCUCUCUAUGGAGAAUUAAAGUCUAUGAAAUUAAAUGGGACUUCCACAUCAAUAACCAAAGCGUUGCAGAUUUAUACUCUUAAUAAAUACUAUCCUGGGAUUGUUCUUAAAGAAAAGCAGGUAAAAUGUCACUUACCUUUCAUGAAAAUGUUUUAUACAUGAAUGCAUUUUGUUUCAUUUAAUUAAUAAAUAAUCCUGGUUUUCGAGGCACAGAGGCCAGACAAUAAUUAUGUUAUUUAGCUGCUUCCAAUAUUAAAAAUACAUGAUUGAACAUGACCCAAAAAUUAUUAAUAUGGCUGGUAUAUACCACAGAGUGUAAAAUAGUAACAAGACUCUUGCAUAAAGGAUCCUUAGUGUUCUCUGAACGUGGUUGCUUUCUUGCAGAUGUUUCUUGUAACUCUUGAGUUACAAAUAUUCUCCUUUACUGAGUCUUUGCAUAGUUUGAAAAUUAUUUGUAAGAACAACUUUCCAGCUUGUGCAAGUAGAUCCUCACUUUUAUUUGCUGCUUAGAGUCGCCUCGAACCACAAGGUGGGCAGCAAAUAAAUGGGUAGCAAUAAUUCACUGAAACUCAAACCUUUUUUCAUGUGUGAAAUAAAGCCUGUAAUUUUAACUAGUCAGCUUAUUAAAGUUAAUACACUCUUACAACAACAGCAGUCAUUUUUGGGGGGAAGCCCACAUACAUAAAAAAUAAGAGUCCCUGCGGAUUUUACUCCUACACAUUGCCGACUAUAGGGGGUGUGUGUACUCAUUUCAAGGUCAUUGAGCCAGUGGUGUCUGAAGACAUUUCCAUAGUCAUGUGGCCAGCAUGACGUUAUGGAAUGCUGUUACCUUCCCACUGAAGGGGUACCUAUUUAUCUACUCACAGUUGCAUGUAUUCGAAGUGCUAAGUUGGAAGAAGCUAAGGUAAGGAUGGGAGCUCACCCUAUCCUGUGGUGCUGGGCUCUCAAACCUAGGCUGCCAGUGUUCUAACCGACAAGCUCAGCAUGAGUCAACCACACCGAAUCCCGCCCCAUAUUUAAAAAACGGGGGGAAAUCAGGCUGCUUUACCAAAUAGCAGAAAGGUACUGCGCUGCUUCUGAAUCAUUUUUGAAGCAUUCACAGCCUUAAUAGUAAUCUUUCCUUUCAGCAAUAUUAAUAAUAUUAUACCUCAAGAUAAAAGACUUGUUAUUUCUCAUAGAUCAUUACAUUUUGGGGCAGACAUAAUGUUCACAGUCUCCUAAACUUGGUCUUUGUAUUUGAUUAUUUUUGUAUGGAUGUUUUUGUAUAAGUUUAUGCUACCCUUUUUAGGAAUUGCUUUAAAUAUGAUAAAGGGAAUAAGUUAACAAUUUUGUCAGAUGGCUGGCAGCCCUGGGAACUCUUGCCUACCUUCCCCAAAACUUUUCUUUCAAAACAUUUCUACUGAAAUUUCAUGAGCCUGCAGCAGCCAAGUGUGAAAUCUCACAAGAUCAUCUGCUGGAAUGCAGAAUUUUUGGGGUGCAUUGAUGCUAUUUUGGGCUGUUGUGCAUGACUCUUGUGUAAUUGGGAGUUGCACUGGUAUGAUCUAUGUUGUCUUUUUCUAACUAAAGGAAGUUUUGCAAAAUAACUGAUUGAGCCUGAAUUAUAUUAUGUGUUAAUCUGGUUACUUGUUGACUGUGAAGAGGCAAUGCCAUAUCAUAGUUAAAACCAAUGAUGGAAGGACAAGAUAAAAAAGGGAUAUUCAUGUUCCCAAUCUCUUAGUUGAGGCUGGAAGAUUGGGAACCUUUAUCUGUACCAAAUUGGUUUGAUCCUAGUUUGUUUUAAUAAACCAUUAACUAAACCAGAAGUAAAAAACAUUUUUCCAAGCUAAUGCUAUAUUUGAAUGGCCCAGACCUGUGUUAAUAGGAUAAAAAGCAAAUUUAAAUUAAUGUCAUUUGCAUUUAUUUAACUGUAAUAUACUACAGUUUAUUAUUCCCUCAAUUUAGGCAAUUUUGUUUCAUAAAAAUUACUUGGUAAUUCACCAUGCCAAAUCAUACUUUGCAGAAACCAUGGCUUGCAAAUGUGUAUCAAAUGAAUGGGUUCUAAUUCUGUUUUAGCAAUUCAUGGAAUCAAUUACUCCAGAUUGAGAACUGUGGUAUAGAAUGAGCAACAUACUAGCAAAAAAAUGAACAAGGGGUUGAAUUAAAGUCUGAACUGAAUCAAUGCUAAAAGCUGAUACACAUACAAUACUAUAUAUUCCCAUAAUAGUUGAAGGCAUUUCUUAGUUUAGAACUUAAAUAUAAAGACAAAAUAAGGGACUAUUUUUAGCUUUCAUGUAGUUUUAGUAUUCAUAAUAAAAGUCUUUAAUUUUGCAUUUUUGUUUUAUUUAUUCAUUAAAUUUGCAUGAAGCCCAUUUCAC